GAUGAACGCUGGCGGCGUGCCUAAUACAUGCAAGUCGAGCGAACAGACGAGGAGCUUGCUCCUCUGACGUUAGCGGCGGACGGGUGAGUAACACGUGGAUAACCUACCUCUAAGACUGGGAUAACUUCGGGAAACCGGAGCUAAUACCGGAUAAUAUAUUGAACCGCAUGGUUCAAUAGUGAAAGACGGUUUUGCUGUCACUUAUAGAUGGAUCCGCGCCGCAUUAGCUAGUUGGUAAGGUAACGGCUUACCAAGGCAACGAUGCGUAGCCGACCUGAGAGGGUGAUCGGCCACACUGGAACUGAGACACGGUCCAGACUCCUACGGGAGGCAGCAGGAGGGAAUCUUCCGCAAUGGGCGAAAGAUUGACGGAGCAACGCCGCGUGAGUGAUGAAGGUCUGCGGAUCGUAAAACUCUGUUAUUAGGGAAGAACAAAUGUGUAAGUAACUAUGCACGUCUUGAAGGUACCUAAUCAGAAAGCCACGGCUAACUACGUG
rnacentral:rRNA from 1 species